rnacentral:tRNA from 1 species
GGAUUGUGGCUCAGUGGUAGAGCGCUUGGCUAGCAUGCAUGAAGCACUGGGUUCGAUCCACAGCACCA